rnacentral:rRNA from 1 species
AGAGUUUGAUCAUGGCUCAGAGCGAACGCUGGCGGCAGGCCUAACACAUGCAAGUCGAACGAACUCUUCGGAGUUAGUGGCGGACGGGUGAGUAGCACGUGGGAACGUGCCUUUAGGUUCGGAAUAACUCAGGGAAACUUGUGCUAAUACCGAAUGUGCCCUUCGGGGGAAAGAUUUAUCGCCUUUAGAGCGGCCCGCGUCUGAUUAGCUUGUUGGUGGGGUAAUGGCCCACCAAGGCUACGAUCAGUAGCUGGUCUGAGAGGAUGACCAGCCACAUUGGGACUGAGACACGGCCCAAACUCCUACGGGAGGCAGCAGUGGGGAAUCUUGCGCAAUGGGCGAAAGCCUGACGCAGCCAUGCCGCGUGUAUGAUGAAGGUCUUAGGAUUGUAAAAUACUUUCACCGGUGAAGAUAAUGACUGUAGCCGGAGAAGAAGCCCCGGCUAACUUCGUGCCAGCAGCCGCGGUAAUACGAAGGGGGCUAGCGUUGCUCGGAAUUACUGGGCGUAAAGGGAGCGUAGGCGGACAUUUAAGUCAGAGGUGAAAUCCCGGAGCUUAACUUCGGAACUGCCUUUGAUACUGGAUGUCUUGAGUGUGAGAGAGGUAUGUGGAACUCCGAGUGUAGAGGUGAAAUUCGUAGAUAUUCGGAAGAACACCAGUGGCGAAGGCGACAUACUGGCUCAUUACUGACGCUGAGGCUCGAAAGCGUGGGGAGCAAACAGGAUUAGAUACCCUGGUAGUCCACGCCGUAAACGAUGAUUGCUAGUUGUCGGGGAGUUUACUUCUCGGUGACGCAGCUAA